rfam:Purpureocillium lilacinum isolate PLFJ-1 scaffold00010, whole genome shotgun sequence.
ACAUACGACCAGAGCCACCAUAAAAAUCGGGAUCCCGUCCGAUCUCCCAGGACAAGUUGGUGAGCGCUGGAUUAGUAGCCGGGACGCUGACGACCAGCGAACACCCAGUGUUGUAUGUU